rnacentral:tRNA from 1 species
GCGCCUUUAGCUCAGCUGGUAGAGCAACUGACUCUUAAUCAGUGGGUCCCGGGUUCGAAUCCCUGAAGGCGCACCA